UACGUAGGGUGCGAGCGUUGUCCGGAAUUACUGGGCGUAAAGAGCUCGUAGGUGGUUUGUCGCGUUGUCCGUGAAAACUCACAACUCAAUUGUGGGCGUGCGGGCGAUACGGGCAGACUGGAGUACUGCAGGGGAGACUGGAAUUCCUGGUGUAGCGGUGGAAUGCGCAGAUAUCAGGAGGAACACCGGUGGCGAAGGCGGCAUCCUGGACCGACACUGACGCUGAUGAGCGAAAGCCAGGGGAGCAAACGGG
rnacentral:rRNA from 1 species